rnacentral:rRNA from 1 species
CAAGACUCCUACGGGAGGCAGUAGUGGGGGAUAUUGCACAAUGGGGGAAACCCUGAUGCAGCGACGUCGCGUGGGUGAAGAAGCGCCUCGGCGCGUAAAGCCCUGUCAGCAGGGAAGAAAAUGACGGUACCUGAAGAAGAAGCCCCGGCUAACUACGUGCCAGCAGCCGCGGUAAUACGUAGGGGGCAAGCGUUAUCCGGAUUUACUGGGUGUAAAGGGAGCGUAGGCGGACUUGCAAGUCUGAUGUGAAAAUCCGGGGCCCAACCCCGGAACUGCAUUGGAAACUGUAUAUCUAGAGUGUCGAAGAGGCAAGUGGAAUUCCUGGUGUAGCGGUGAAAUGCGUAGAUAUCAGGAGGAACACCAGUGGCGAAGGCGGCUUGCUGGACGAUGACUG